rnacentral:sRNA from 1 species
GCAAUUUUUAUUUUUUAAAAAUAUUUAUAUUUUACAGUUUAUAAUUGUUAUUAAGUAACGCUAUACCACGAAUCCAUGAGACAAUUGUUAAAAAACUGAAGUUGUAACCCCUAUUAAAACAGCAGCAUAAUAAUAAUUUAAAAUUUUAUAAAUAUUGAUUCAAAUACAUCCACCAUAUAACCCAAUUCCAAAAUAAAACCUGUUCUAUAAUUUAUUUACCCGUCCUGUGAUUUGUUUUUUAAAGUAGUAAUUUUUAAAAUUUAAGAAUUCUUUUUUAUAUAUAAAAGUUUUGCAAAUUGUAUCAUUCUCUCAUACAUUUAUAUUUUAUAAUUUAAUUUUAUAUAUAGUAACAUUAUACAUACCACAUAACAUUUUUGGUUUUAUAUAAUCUUUUCUAAAUUAGGAUGAUUUGAUAUGUUUAAUAUUAGUGAUCUUAAAAAAUAAUAAAUUAAAGAUUUAACCUGUAUUGAAACAGUGGAUUAAUUAUAUUUUACUUUUUUAUUAAUGUUGAUUCAAAAACCCGUCAUUCCAAAUCCGUCUUGCCAAAAAGCCAUUUAUUUUAUUAAUAUUAAUUUUACUUAUGAUAUGACUCUGAAUUAUAAUUUAAAUAUUUUAGCUAAUAACAUAGGAGUACACCAUAUUUAUUUAAUAGGGGAAUGUACCAUAUGACCCGAAUGCACUUUUACCCAAAUCCACCAAAAAAGUGUUGCAAAAAUACUAUAGAGAUAAGAAAUGAUAGUCGGUUUUGAUAGGUAUAAGAUUAGCAAAUAUAUUAGUUAGCUUAAAUUAGUUAAAUAAUACAAAUUGAAAAGGAAUACUACACUUUAUUCGAAUAUAAUAUCAAAACUUAUAUAACACAGAGAUUUGAUAAUUUUUUAAUUGUUGAAUACUUUUUUUGUGCUAAUUUUUAUGUGAUUAAGAUUUAAUUGAUUUUGUAUAUAAAAUAUUAAAUUGUUUUACGAACUUAUUUGUUUAUAAUUGGUAACAGAUAGAUAUUUGAGUAUUCAGUAUAUUUUGCUUCAGUUUAGGAAAUUUUUGAUGACCCGUCUUUAGAUCCAAUAAGCCCUAUAAUCUAGAUAUUAACCUGUAGUAUACCGCAGGUAGGCUUAUAUUUUAGUUAAACUAAAAACUUAUUGUAAAGAUGAUUUAAAAAUAUAUGAUAUUAUUUUAUUUGAUUUUAAAUGUAUAGUAAACUGUGAGUUGUAUAUGUUUUAUUGAUAUUAUCUAUAUUGUUUAGUGUUUAAGAUUAUACACUUGUACUUUGAUUGUUAAUUUAAGAGUUUCACCUGUAGUAGACCAUCUUGUAUUAAUAUCGAUCUAAACCCGUCAAUUCUAGGAUUUUCUAGCUUGUAUUAAAAAUUGAAUCACAUCAUACACAUAAAAAAAUCUAAUAUGUUAUUAAUUAUUAUAGUAUAUAAGAUUAUAAAUUUUCAAUAUAAUAUGUAUGAAAUUAAAUAUAAAUAUUUCAAAUUAUGACCCGUUACUCAGUAGAAAGUUUUCUUAAAUCUAUUUUUCACCCGGUAUAAUAUUUUUUCAUGUAUUGAACAGUUUAUAUUCGUUUUUAAAAAUUCUAAUUGUUGCAUAUGCGAAAAAACUCUAAUUAUUUUUUUAUAAUGAUGAUAUUAUUUUUUUGUAAAAAUAGAAUCAUAUAAAGAUGAGAAGUGAAUUAUAAUAAUUAAUAAAAAAUUAAUAUGAUAAUUUAGAUAUCAAAUCUAAUUUGUUGAUUUUAAUUGGUUACUUUUUU